UUGUGGAACGCAAAACUAUUCCGAGGGAACACAGACCUAGCUCCGAAUUUUUUUUACCACCAUGACCGUGAGCUGCUGGUUUCUAUCCUUGCAGAAAGUGCUUCACCAAAGGGGGCAUUCCAAACCGUUAUUUGCAUGCUUCCUCUGUCUGCAUUCCGCGGUCCUCCAGCUCGAGCCCCGGAAAUCGUUCGAAGUGUGACAACAUAAAGGAUGAGUCAUUUCUUGCUGCCAGAAAACAGCAGGAGAAAUGAGAUGGGAGGACAGAGGACGUGUGUGGAAGUCUUUUUAGAGAUCAGUUUUAUGUUUGAGGUUACAGGGCGUGAUGUGUCCUAUAGGCAAAUAUUUAGAUCGUGUCAGGUAGGCCUAUAGCCCAAGGUGAAAAUGCCCCUCCCCUUUCUUCCUAUGCUUUUUUCACAUCUGUCAACCUACAAUUUAAAAUAAAAUGUAGCAGUUUAUGAACGAAAACAAAUGAUCAGUCAAACCAAGAAAAUAUCCAUGUGCUUGAAUUAUCAUCAAAUAUGCCAACUUUAACGAAACAGUGAUUACUUUGUUGCCUACAGGAUCUUAAAAAACAAUUAAUUCAUACCAUGUCACGUGAACAGAAAAAAAAUCCUUGAUUCCUCCAUCCCCCUUGCAUUCUUUUCUUGUUUACUUCAGGGGGGGGGGUUUAUCAGAGGGAAGGGCUAGAACGUCAUGAAAGGAAAGCAGUGUUGCCCCAGUCAAAUACGAUUCCUGGACCACUUUUUGGUCCACUGCUGCACAAAAGCGACCAGCUGAAAUACAACAAUUGUUUUUACUUCUGCAGUCAUCCAUGCUUGGUUUCGUCGUGCACGUGCACAAGGCUGGCCUUAACUUGCUAGCGCAACAGCCUGUUUUCCCUCUUUGACUGAGCUGCCUUAAUUGUAAAAAAAAAAAAAACACACAACUUAACUUGCCAUUGUUGACCUUGUGUGAGGGCUCCAGGAGUCUUCAGAGAGAGUGAAAGAGCUGAGGGAGGCAGCUACUGGAGUGCAACUUUGCAGAGCUAGAUUCAGA